GUUAGAUAUUCAUCUGUCCACAGUUAGACAAACUGUCUAUAAAUGGAGGUGAUUUAGUACUAUAGGUACUCUCUCUAGAAGUGGCCGUUAGAUAUUCAUCUGUCCACAGUUAGACAAACUGUCUAUAAAUGGAGAUGAUUUAGUACUAUAGGUACUCUCUCUAGAAGUGGCCGUUAGAUAUUCAUCUGUCCACAGUUAGACAAACUGUCUAUAAAUGGAGGUGAUUUAGUACUAUAGGUACUCUCUCUAGAAGUGGCCGUUAGAUAUUCAUCUGUCCACAGUUAGACAAACUGUCUAUAAAUGGAGAUGAUUUAGUACUAUAGGUACUCUCUCUAGAAGUGGCCGUUAGAUAUUCAUCUGUCCACAGUUAGACAAACUGUCUAUAAAUGGAGAUGAUUUAGUACUAUAGGUACUCUCUCUAGAAGUGGCCGUUAGAUAUUCAUCUGUGCACAGUUAGACAAACUGUCUAUAAAUGGAGGUGAUUUAGUACUAUAGGUACUCUCUCUAGAAGUGGCCGUUAGAUAUUCAUCUGUCCACAGUUAGACAAACUGUCUAUAAAUGGAGAUGAUUUAGUACUAUAGGUACUCUCUCUAGAAGUGGCCGUUAGAUAUUCAUCUGUCCACAGUUAGACAAACUGUCUAUAAAUGGAGAUGAUUUAGUACUAUAGGUACUCUCUCUAGAAGUGGCCAUUAGAUAUUCAUCUGUGCACAGUUAGACAAACUGUCUAUAAAUGGAGGUGAUUUAGUACU